rnacentral:rRNA from 1 species
AUAGCUUGACACUGAACAUUGAGCCUUGAUGUGUAGGAUAGGUGGGAGGCUUAGAAGUGUGGACGCCAGUCUGCAUGGAGCCGACCUUGAAAUACCACCCUUUAAUGUUUGAUGUUCUAACGUUGACCCGUAAUCCGGGUUGCGGACAGUGUCUGGUGGGUAGUUUGACUGGGGCGGUCUCCUCCUAAAGAGUAACGGAGGAGCACGAAGGUUGGCUAAUCCUGGUCGGACAUCAGGAGGUUAGUGCAAUGGCAUAAGCCAGCUUGACUGCGAGCGUGACGGCGCGAGCAGGUGCGAAAGCAGGUCAUAGUGAUCCGGUGGUUCUGAAUGGAAGGGCCAUCGCUCAACGGAUAAAAGGUACUCCGGGGAUAACAGGCUGAUACCGCCCAAGAGUUCAUAUCGACGGCGGUGUUUGGCACCUCGAUGUCGGCUCAUCACAUCCUGGGGCUGAAGUAGGUCCCAAGGGUAUGGCUGUUCGCCAUUUAAAGUGGUACGCGAGCUGGGUUUAGAACGUCGUGAGACAGUUCGGUCCCUAUCUGCCGUGGGCGCUGGAGAACUGAGGGGGGCUGCUCCUAGUACGAGAGGACCGGAGUGGACGCAUCACUGGUGUUCGGGUUGUCAUGCCAAUGGCACUGCCCGGUAGCUAAAUGCGGAAGAGAUAAGUGCUGAAAGCAUCUAAGCACGAAACUUGCC